UCCAGCAUAUUCCAAUUCUAGUACAUGUGGAGAUACAAACUGCAAAAAUUAUUUUGGCACCUGAUGAUUGUUAUGGGCCUGAUGACUAAGUACUUUGUUCUCUCAAUUACAGGUUUGGUCCUUGGCAAGAGCCAAGGACCAAACCUGUCUUCCCUGCCUUCAGAUUAAUUUCUUAGUGUUUCUGGGAGGUGCUCAAGGAGGACAUUGCAUACAUGUGUGUGUUUGUGUGUGUGUGUGUCUGUGUGUUUGGGCUCAUGUGCAGAUCAAUGUGACAUUAUGGCAUACAUAGUUUGUUUGAUACCUCUCACCAUUAGUUCAUCCCACCUUCAGAUCAAUUUCUCACUAUUCUCAUGAUGCUCCAAAGCAGGGCAUAACAAGUCUGUGCAGUAGAGACCAGCACCAGGCACUGCCAAGGGCAAAGCAUCCCUUCAUACACCCUCCAACUAAAAGGAAAUAGUGUCUAUGAUAUUCAUCUUUUUAUAAUUUUUUGAUACUUGUUGCUAUUUUUCAUUGCUACUUAGCUUAACAUAUGCUUUCCCAUUCACCAAGAAGGCCUUGCAAUGAGACAACCACUAUAGAAAAGUUAUCACUUACAUCUUUCCAGUCACAGUCACUGCUUGCUUUCCAUACUUCUUUAAUUGUAUAUGCAGGUUUUAUUUUUUUGUAUUCUCUCCCCACACUGUGUUGACAAGUUGUAUACAGUGUUCAUUUCUAUAUCAAUGUUAUCAUCAUUCCUUCAGGAGUUGUACAUUCUAGGUGAUACUAUUACAUCUGCUUGGUAACACUGGUGCACUGCUCAGUGGCUAAAGCAGUACUUUAUGCAGUACUGCAGUAACUCAUUUGCAAGAUUUCACUAGUUUUGUCAUAUAGUCAAAAAGAAUAAGAAUAAUCAGGACAGAGCUUAUUUUCAUGUGGCAAGUAGAGUACCAGUAUUGAGAAGAGACCACACACUAGAGGACAUACAUUUGCAGAUAACUCUGAUGCUUCAUACACUAAGUGAAAAAUAGUGAUUGACUCAUGUAAUUAUGGUACUUUUCAAAAUUAUGACAAUGACAGUUCACUAGCCCAGAUGUAGAACCAUAUCUAGUAAAUUGUCACAAAAUUUAUCAGUAGUGCAUAAGAAUAUGGAACUCUUCAGGUUAUGCAUUCAUCUUGCAGACUGAAUUUUGAAGCACCAGAUCUCAGAUGACAACACUUCAUAAAAGCAAGUCACUGCAGUCUUCUGUAGACUUAUUUGUGGUAUUUGUCAUAUACAUACACAACAAAUAUGAGACGACAAGCUCCACUUGUGAUAUUAGUGAUCUUUUACAGAUUGGCACUAAUAAGUUUGUAUUGUAUAUGCCCUAUGAAGAGGUGUUAAGAAGUCCCUAGCUUUGAGUGUCAUGAAAGGCUUUGGUUGUUAACUGUAGAGUUGAUAGGACAACUAUUGAUUAGGAUAAUAUAAAAAAAAAUCACAAAACACAAGAUAUACCUGUUUUAGUUUCUAGUAAGUGUAAUGAAUGAUGUCAGCUUGUAGAGCAGAAUUUGAUAAGGUUAAAGCAUGGGCAGUCAUUAAGUUCUUCAUCUUGCAAGACAAAGAAGCAACAGAAAUCUGCAGCCAUAAGAAAAUCCUUUAGGAUGAUGGUCCAUCACACUUCAUGAAGAAAACCUAAUGAAAAAUCUUACUGUUAAAUUCUGAACAGGUAAUUUCAAAAUUAUGGAUGAUCCCUGAUCAAGACAGCCAAUUUCUGUGACCACAGGAGACAAAGUUGAUGCUGUACAUGUCAUAUUAAUUCAGACUCCAGAUUUCAGGUAAAUUAAUAGCAGAAACUCAUCAUUUCCUUUGAAAGAAUUGGCCACAUCAACCAUGAAAUUCUGGACAUGAGAGAGCUCUCUGCAAAGUGGGUGGUGAAAAUUUUUUUGAUGCAGCUACUAAGCUAAUUAGAUUGACAAGUUUAUGAAAGUAUUUGGACACAUUUUCAGAGGAAGAAAUGGAUUUCAUGACAGAUUAGUCACCAUGGAUGAAAAUCUGUCUGCAACAUUAUGAAUCAAUAGAGUGGUAACACGGCAAGUCAACGUCUCAAUAAUUUCCAAAUCCAGAUGUCAGUAAGAAACAUCCUGGCUUCAGUAUUCUGGGACAAAGGUGAAAUAUUUCUCAUGAGAUGCCUGCCAAAGUUUUGCAUCAUCAUUGGAGAAAACUACAUGUCUCUGUUAUACAAAUUGCAUGAAUCUUUGAAGCAGAAAUGCAGCAGGAAGCUGGGCUGUAAUAGCUUAAUUUUUUGCAGGAAAAUGCACUAACUCAGAAAGUGUCCAACACUCUUUGGAAAACUCACAGCCUUUACCUCUUUUGAUGGACCAACUAAAACCUCUCCCCACGUCUGAAGAAACACCUAAGGGGAAGGAAAUUCUGCUCAAGUUUGUAAGUGAUUGCUGCUACAGAGACAUGAUUAGAGGCCAGAUCUUCCAAAUAUUAUUUUUUUCUGGGUUUAGAAAAACUGAAGGACUCCUGCAAUAAAUUUGUAAGCCUGAGAGGGAAAUUAAUUGGCCCUUUAGAAUCUUCUUUCAAAAACAAGGAACUUUUCUACAAAAUGUCUAUAUGAAGUUUGAGGAAGUCAUAAGACAUGUGAUGGAUUAAUUUGCAUCUCUUCUGUAAAAAAAUCUGUAUGUCUGUGCACAAGACUGAGAUCCUCUUCAAACUGAGUAGACAAGACAAUACCAUACCUCAGUUCAUGGUAGAAAUAUGUAUGCGUAAAUACAGAAGAGGAGUUCACAGUUCCCCUCACUGCACCUCUUUCAGCCAUAUUCCAUGAUGCACAGGCAAUGCAGCUCAGAACUUUGCCACUGCCUAUCAUAGAGGAAAGAAGGCAACAAGAAAAACAGUAGCACAAAUAAGAUUAACAUAAGUAAAUGCCAUUCUUAAAAAAUGAAAUACAUAUUGAUUUUUAUAAAAAGGAAAAGACAUAUUGUGAUGCAACAAGCAUAAACUAGCUAGAGCCAACCUGCUUUAGCCACAAGGGAUAUUUAGGACCAAAUAUUCAUAUCUUAUUUUUUCCUGGUCAGAUGAUAAACCCUUGACAUUGCUGAUUACAUUUCCUAUCUUUCUUCACUUUUUUUUUUUUUUUUUUGAGAAUCACCUCAAUGCAACUUGACAACAAAGGACCUUUCUCUGAUCUGUAAUUCAAGAGAGUAUGAUUAGUGAACAGUUAUCCUAAUCCUGCCAUUCACCCAACACUUCUCAUUUUUCUGUAUGUACAUGAGAUAACAAAUGAAUCAUGAAGGAAAGAUAUACAAAGUUCAGACUCCCAACAGCAUAUCUCAGGGUCAAUAUACUAUACUAGGUUAUCAGGGUUGUGAACCACAUCUUCAGUACGUACUUCAGUGUGUCCUCAGUGUGAAAGAAUCUUUCAUUGCUGCCCAUCAUCAAUACUAAAAAAAAAUACAUUACAGUUUACUUCAGAGGGAAGUGUGAAACUUUAAAACUCUUACAUUAAGGAUUAAAACAAGGACACAAAAGUUUCCAGCAUCCUAUUGUAACCAUUCAGUUGAAUGGAGACAUCAACAUGAACUUGUGUGCAUUCAUAAUAUAAGAUUGAUUGACAAAUGCUUCCACUGCUGUGCAUUUUCUCAGUUUUAAGUCCACAAAUUUCAAGACCAUAAUAGAAAUCAGCUCUAGGAUUUUAUUGUUAUCAUGGGAAGUGUACUUUUAUAUCACAUUGGUUUUUGAUAUGUAGCUGCCUAAUAAUGGAAUGUAUAAUCCUAAAUAUAGGUAACUAAUUAGUCUGUUGACCAUCCCAUUACAAAAUAGGGCAACUGAUAGAUUUUUAAUGAAGGGAGUGAAUGUUAACAAGAAUUCUAUUGCUGAACCACCUGGCAUGUUAUUUUGAGUCAAUGCAGCAAAAUUAUAAGGUUGCAAUUAUGUGGUAUGUAAAAAUGUAUGUGGCUUUGUGAAGAUUAUGGUUGUGAACAUUGUCUCUAACAUGACAGUCUAGACCUCCAACAAUGAGGUUACAGAAUCAAACCCUCUCUACUGCUUUUAUUUAUAUGUAUUUUACUUAUCUUUCCGAAGAGCAAGUAGCUUGUACGUCUCAUUGUAUUCAAUAUGCAAGAAACUUCUUCAUUUCCUUUCUUAUUCCUUUUUUAUUAUUAACUUUGUCUUGAGACUUUUGGUCAACAGCAAGGUAAAGAUAUCAGGCAAGAACCUCAUGUCCUCUACAAAACUGAUACCAGCACAAUUCCUCUCACUCUCUUUUUCUUCAUUGUAUGAUUAUGAAAGUAUUAUAGGUUAACAUGAAAGCAAAAUUACAAAAUUAUAUCCCAAACAUUAUUAGAUAUGCCUACUGCUGAAAAGUUGAAAGAAUGAAUGCCUUCAUACAGUUUUAAUAACACAGGUUUCAACAUACUCAGUCUAUACAUGCUAUGAAUAUAAUUCUCAUUUUUUUCUUAAUUAUAUACUCGUAUGACAAUUAUAGACUAAUUUUUUUUCAGAAGUGUAUUUGUCUCAGCUCCUCUUAAUGUACUCAUAUCUGUCCUUGAGCCUGAUGAUAAGGUGAUAAGUGGCAUGAACUGUGCCCCAAGAAGUGAUGCUCAGGCAUGUGCUGUAUGCUACAAGAGUAUAAGAUAGUAAUUCCAUUUAAUAUAUUACUUCUGGCUUCACACUAAGUACUGUAGUGAAACAUGCUCUCAGAGAAUUGUUAUCAGAUUUAUCCAAAGUGUGUACAGUAUUAGCUGGUCAGUGACACCAACCAGUGAGUCUAAAAUUAGUCUCUCACUGUUUUGAUAUAUUUUGUUACUGAGGGAUGUGACUGGUGCAGGGGAUGGGACAGAGACCAGCUGUAGAACAAGAGCCAGAAGAUGUGCAUAACAAUGCUGCAGGAGUCCAAGGCAGUGGUGCUCCACAGUAUGACUUUCUCUCCCCAGGGUGUCGAACAAUGCCAGGGGCUACACCUCCUUCUGGGUGUCUUCAUUCAUCAUGGCUUCCACCCUAAAUAUCACCAACUCUUCAUGACACAAUGCUCCAGUGUGAAGUCUCACCUGAGGGUGCCAUGAUGGAACAGAUCACUCAGCUACCCAGCAAGCAGAAAUUGUUAGACUUUAUCUCUGGACAAUGUCUAUUUUUUUAAUGAGACUCUCUUGGUCCAACAUGACACAGGCAAGAACACCAAAUGCUGAGAAGAGUGCUCAACUUCCUUUGAUGACACUGUGCAACGUAACACUGCCAGCCACUGCAGUAUAGUGUCAUUGAAAGCUGUCAUUGACUCACAUCAGAUAAUGCAUGAAAUGCUAAACAUCUAGUUAUAAAUAUCAAAGUAUUAUUAUAAGAGGUACCUUACUUUUGUAUACAGGGUGUAACGCGAGUUUCUGCAAAUGCUGAAAGAGGUGAAAGAACAUGUAAUUCUAAGUAGAAAAUGUUCUAUACACAAAUGGAUUUUAAGGCUUUGUUUACCUGUCAGAGGAGUUGAAAAUGUAUGGGACUCACGGGUGUGCUCUGCAUGUAGCUGUGAGGUGACGGACAGACAGUUGUACUGUCACAGCCUUGGAGGUGCCACUUGGUCAAAUUAUGAAUGGUUUAAUCUUAUUUUUUGCAAGCUGUGGAAUAUUACAGUAUCUUAUAACAAGACAAAUGGUAUUAAAAAGCAUGAAAUUUACCGAUAAGCAUUACACGACAACAUUAUUGCAGUGAUUAAAAUUAUUCCUGUAAAAUGCUACAUGGCAUCAUCAAAGCAAGGGAGGAGGGGGGAGCAAGUCCGAGCAAUCUUGAAAACAGCUGAUUGAUGAUGCCAUGUAGCAUUUUACAGGAGUACUUUUAAUCACUGCAAUAAUAUUGUCGUGUAAUGCUUAUUGAUAAAUUUCAUGCUUUUUAAUACCAUUUGUCUUGUUAUAAAAUACUAUAAUAUUCCACAGCUUGCAAAAAAAAUAAGAUCAAACCAUUCAUAAUUUGACCAUUUGGCACCUCCAAGGCUGCAAUAAUGCAACCGUCUGUUCAUCACCUCAUAACUAUACGUAGAGCACACCCAUGAGUCCCAUAUAUUUUCAACUCCUCUGAUGGGUAAGCAAGGCCUUAAAAUGCAUAUGUGUAUAGAACAUUUUCUACUUAGAAUUACAUAUUUUUUCACCUCUUUCAGUAUUUGCAGAAACUCGCGUUACACCCUGUAUUCAAGGUAACAUAAGAAAUCGGAUUUCUUAUGAGUAUCACUUCCACCAGAUAUGUAGUGAUCAAAGAAUCCUUGUGAAACAGGUGAUGAAGCUUAGCCUUACUAGGGUUAUGAAAGAGCAUUAUCUCUUCUGUCAUGAAGCUGCUGUGAGCUGGGAUGGAACUCACAACCUUUCAGCUAAAAGUGAAACAUUGCACCAUAGAGCCAUUCUCACUCUUACUUCACACAGGAGGAUUCUGUAUUGGGUAUUCAUCUUGUAAUAUUCACUUUCUGAAUUAAAUGCUCAUCUUUUAUUCCAUGGACUUCAUUGAAACUUAUGUUUGCUACUUUAGUUCAUUUAAGCGACAGGUCUAUAUCAAGAUGUCCCCAAUAUAGUAUAAUGAAGCCAAUGUGAGAGAUCAGAAUCAACACUAAAUAUGUAUAUUUUCCAUUACACUGAUACUAAUAAAGAAAAAUCUAUUGGCAAUAUUCUAGUUACUUGGUCAGCACCUUAGCAUUUCACAGAGCACCUAAAGUUUUUAUUCUAUUUUAUUUUUCUCAGGUUAACAACUUCAGGGAUUAACAAUAGAACAUGGCAGUCUUUAAUGACAUGGUGCAGCAGCAGCACUGGAUGGCUGGCUGCUGCUGUACCAUGUUGUCAGAGGAUGUUAUCCUUACCUCAGGCAUCACACUGCUGCUCUACAUAACACUGACAAUGAAUUAAUAGUCAUGACUCUGUAUUAAUCCUUUCAUUGCUAUUUGGCACACACACCUCUUUAAUUACUAACCACUCAGAGACAUCUUUUCUUGCUCCACAACCACCUCUAAACAUUGUACUGCCUAGGAAUUUCAAAAUUUACUUUUUUAUCCCUUUCUUGUAUAUACAUAUAAAGAUUUCAUACAUUGCCUUUAGUGUUGUGAACUGUUUCAUGUUUCAGUGAAAGGGUUGAGGUAUCAUUGUAUGCUUAAGUCAAUAUAAUAUCUGUCUGAGACAUAUCAUGCAGAGAUAGAUUUCAUUACAUUGACACCAGUCUAGAAAUAGGAGAGUAUUUAUAUGUA